GAUCAUGGCUCAGGAUGAACGCUAGCGGCNGGCUUAAUACAUGCAAGUCNAGGGGCAACAGCUUUAUAGCAAUAUAUAGGCUGGCGACCGGCAAACGGGGGCGGAACACCUACACAACCUUCCUUUAAGUGGGGGAUAGCCCAUAGAAAUGUGGAUUAAUACCCCGUAAUAUUAUUGAAGUGGCAUCACUUUAUAAUUAUAGUUUCGACGCUUGAAGAUGGGUGUGCGGCUGAUUAGGUANUUGGCGGGGUAAAGGCCCACCAAGCCUUCCAUCAGUAGCUGAUGUGAGAGCAUGAUCAGCCACACGGGCACUGAGACACGGGCCCGACUCCUACGGGAGGCAGCAGUAAGGAAUAUUGGUCAAUGGACGCAAGUCUGAACCAGCCAUGCCGCGUGAAUGAUGAAGGUCCUCUGGAUUGGAAACUUCUUUUAUAGGGCGCGAAAAAAGGGAAUUCUUUCUCACUUGACAGUACCCUAUGAAUAAGCACCGGCUAACUCCUGCCAGCAACCGCGGUAAACGGAGGGCAAGCGUUAUCCGGAUUCACUGGGUUAAAGGGUGCGUAGCGGA
rnacentral:rRNA from 1 species